AAUAACUUUAUUUUUCCGUUUUUUGAUACAAUGUUUCGAUUCUUCGUCUUAUUUGAAUUUUUUUGCGAUUAAUAUUUUUAUUGUUACUAGAUGAUAAAAUAUAAAUAAUACUUUAUGCGUGACUAUUUUUUUAAGUUUUUGUAUAAAUUUUCGAAUAAGACGAAUGGUCAAAUGUUGGAUACGGAAAAAC
rnacentral:pre_miRNA from 1 species